CUCUCUCUCUCUCUCUCUCUCUCUCUCUCUCUCUCUCUCCCUCUCCCUCCCUGGAAGAAGGGAAUGAGGCAGGGCUGACGUGAAGGGAUGCAAAACAGCUCCUCCUAAGCCAGCUCGCAGAGGAAGAGAGACCGAAAAGCAGCCCUUUUAUCUCUCUUUUGUUUUCUCACUUCCUUCCACCCCCCCACACCCCCCUCCUGUCAGCCCAAGUUUUCUUUUCUCUUUCCACCACAGAGAGGAUUUUUUUCUUCCUCUCUUUCUCUGCCUUUCGGUUCAACUCUCCCACUCAAAUGGAACGCCUGGAGGGUUUCUCGCUCUCCUUUUUUUUCUUCCCUCUUUUCUUCCUUCUUCCUCCUUUCUUAUUUCUCUAAAAGGGUUUUGUUUGCUGUGGGAGUUUCGUUUGAAAAUCAAGUCACGCCUUUUUUCCUCCUUUUCUUUCUCUCUCUUUUUUUCUCCUCAGAAAAGGGGAACAAAGAUGAACUGAAGCGGAGGAGAGGGAGAGCGGCAGGGCCUCUCAUGGAAAUGGGGGGCCCUGCCUGGCACAAAGGGGGCCGGGGGACUUCGCGCCCCCCGGCCCCAAGGGAAGCCCCGGGCGUCCUCGGGAAGGGGAGUCAGUGGGGCAGGGGGCGCGGCUGCCGGGUGCCGCCCAGUCGCCGCUCCCCGGCCUGAGGUGGAAGUCUAGGUGUGUUCUCUACUCCUGUAUUUUUAAAGUAGGCAGAUGGGCUCGGAACAGGCGUCCCCGCACCGCACUGAACUGUAAAAGAGCCUUCAAACAGCUGUUUGUAGAGCCCUGGACAGCCAGGCUCGAGGGAGCGGCGCGGGACGCGAGCGCGCGCCGGGGCCCAGUGGGGCAGGGGCUGGAGAAGCCGGGGUCGGGCCCUCGUGGGCCCUCCAAUCCCAGGGCCUGGGCCUCGGCCCCAGACGCACUGCUGGGGGCGCCGAGGCGUGGCCGAUCGCGGCGCGGGGGUCAGGCCGCUGCGCCUCCCUGCGGGGGCUCGGCACGGCCUGGCCUCCUCCCAGCUCCAGGGCAGGCCGGACCCUCGGCCUCCGACCUUCAGCACGCUGGCCACUCGGAGGGAGCCGCUUCUCGCCUCCGAAGCUGGGCGGGGCCGGAGUCCUCGGACAGAGCCGGGCCGAGCCGCCACGGAGGGUCAAUUAUUCAUGGGGCGCCCGGGCGUGCUCCCAAGACCUGCUCUGCCCUCAGCUUCUCCGGAGAAGUGGGGAGAAGACAGGGGAAAAGUUCGCAGAGCAAAGUUGGCCACAUUUCUCAUUUUCUCAAGUGGCCUGGAUUGGGAACUCCUAUGUCUGAUCAAGGUGGCAAGGGUGUAGUCUCAGGAACAUGACUGGAAUGUCAAGACUGGUUACAAAGGCCUCAUCAGUGGAACUGUAGCCUGCCUGAAGAACAAACAGGAAUCAGAAGAGAGUGGGCCUUGUAAAAUCCAGAAGGGCGAAUGGGAGCAGAUUGCCUCCCUGGGAGACCCUGUCUGGACAGGUGACCCAUCAUCGCCUUCUCUGACUCCUUUUUACUUUCCGAAUGUCCACCUCCGGGGGUUGUUGGGAGGAAUUAAACCAGGCAUUAAUUAAACAUGUUGUCUGGUGGGAAAGAAAAGACAUCAUUGUGAAGCCAUGAUGAGCACGAUGAGAGGGGAAUUACCGUCUUUUCCACCAAGGAAGCAAGCCCAGCUCAAAGCCGGUCUUCCUCCCAGAAGCGCUUCCAGAUCCCUUUGGGCCAGCGGUUUCAAAGCUGAAAUUCUUCAGAAUCACCUCAGAAGCCAAAUUUGCAUAUGCUUGCUGUGAAAACAUCAAACCACACUAACAGGUCUACAGCAACGAGUGACCGUGCCCCCUCCUCCACACUCAAGCCCCUUCCCCAGUGAUUUUCCAAGGAAUGCACUGGGUGUUCAAUGAAGCCCCUCCACUCAGACUGGCUAGGACUCAAACAUCCCUGAGCCCUGAAUGAGCUGCAGGAAUUGUUCAGCUUCCAGCUCUGAUAGUGUGCUUUGCCUGCCCUGCAAAUAUGGACACUAGGUGUGAUGUCUGGACCAUGGCAGCUAUUGUGUGACCAUGAGGCAGCUAUACACUAAAGAUGGUGAAGUGGAAAGACGUGGUCUGAAAACCUUCUGUUAAUACCUGUGUCAAUCGGCUGGGAAGUUGCAGUGUAUCCACUUGCAGGAUGGGUGUCAGCCAUUUGGAAAAAAAUUGCAAAGGCAGUGGCAGAUGUCCUCAUCUCUGGGCUAAGGGAUCCUAUGUCAACAAUGCACUAACAAUAUACUGUGGAGAAGGACUCGAUCAUCCCCAACUCUGCGUUGAAAAGGGAUUCAGAAGGAUCAUUUUCUACAGCAGUCUCUUCUGUGAAGAAGUUUUAGGAUCACUUUCCAAUUUAUUUCGCUUCUGUUUUCCUUUCUACCUAUGCACAAGAGUGAUAUACGGUAAAAAUGUAUGUCUGAAUAAGCCGAGAAAGAGCUUUCUCAAGAAGCAUCAACCAAAAUCCUAAAUAAUAAGACAGUGUCGUUCAUAAUUUCAUUGGCAGCUUGCUUGUCUUUCUUAGGAGGACCUGAAAUAACAGUGUGUCUUCUAACUGAUGGCAUUCAUUUCAGUAAAGUGCAAAAUUAUAGAGAGAAUAAAGACAGAAAAAAAAAAGGAAUUAAUAUCCAGCUUCUGACAUUCAAAAUAAAAUUAUGCAGGAAGAAAUUAGCCUUGCAGAAUGGGUGUCUUUCUUAAAAGAAGAUCUAAAUUAUUUUCUUUGGAUCCUAGGCACACUUGCAAGCUCCUUCCUUUAGCAUUUCAGCAGCUGAGCCCCAAGGACUCAGCCUGUGGGGUCCUCUGUGAGUGGAGAAGGCAAUCCUUCCCGCUCUGCAAGGCAGGCCACGAGCUUUGCUGCCAUUCCCUGGAGAGACGUGGGGCAGAGCAGGGGGGAAGCCUCUCUGUCUCAGGCCCCAGGGAAAGUGGGAAGAUGAAACAGUGAAGGAGGAGGAGGAGGAGGAGAGCAAGUCAGACAGAAAUGAGAGCCACUUAGUUAAGUCAGUAACUCAGUGACACGCCUGGUUGAGGGGGCUUUGCGUCUCUUCCUGCUUGGAGCCCCUGGAGGAGGCUGCACCAUCACAGAAGAAGGGGCCCUGAGGUGCCCACCCCUGAGCCUCUGUAGCGUCCCCAUGGGUACAUGGGAUCCUGACAUUUCCGGAGGGGUCACUGGGGUGUGACAUCACCCUGGAAUCAGCAGGGACCUGAGCACACCCACCGCCGAACACCCGGAGUCACCCUCAUACCCUAUCCCUGGGCUCCCAGAAGCCACACUUCUUCCCCUCUCCUCCCAAGUCGCCAUCUGGACAGUGGCGGAAGACACCUUUUUCCUUAGAGACUGAGCCUUGCGUAUAAGGAUUAUUGGGUAGGACUAAGAUUUUAAAGGUAACUUCCCCCCCACACACACACUAGCCAGAGACGAGGACAUUGGAAGACCAAAAAAAUAAAAGAGCUACAUUUUUUCAUCACAUCCCAGAUACUGUUGCACUGCAUUUUGAGACCUGCUAUAUUUAUAAAAAGGAAAGCUUGGAAACCACUUAAAAGCACUGCUUAGGAGAAUGAUAUCACAACUUAUUACACGUGCAUAAAAUAUAAUUUUGCCCAGUUAUUAAAAUGAUAUUUAUGUACUAUUUUAAUCACACAACUAGUGGAAAUCAAGAAAUAAAUGUGUAUGUACUGGAAGAUCUCAAUUAUAUGUACAAAAUAGACUGGAGGAAAUGCACGAAAAUGUUGACUACAGUUACUUUGAAUGGCGGAGUAUCGGUGAUUUUAAUUCUUUA